GAUGAACGCUAGCUACAGGCUUAACACAUGCAAGUCGCAGGGUAACAUGAGGAAAGCUUGCUUUCCUUGAUGACGACUGGCGCACGGGUGAGUAACGCGUAUCCAACCUUCCCAUAACUACGGGAUAACCCGUUGAAAGACGGCCUAAUACCGUAUGACAUCGUUUGCUGACAUCAAAUAACGAUUAAAGGUUUAGCGGUUAUGGAUGGGGAUGCGUCUGAUUAGCUUGUUGGCGGGGUAACGGCCCACCAAGGCGACGAUCAGUAGGGGUUCUGAGAGGAAGGUCCCCCACAUUGGAACUGAGACACGGUCCAAACUCCUACGGGAGGCAGCAGUGAGGAAGAAUGGGCAAUGGGCGAGAGCCUGAACCAGCCAAGUAGCGUGCAGGAUGACGGCACUAUGGGUUGUAAACUGCUUUUAUGUGGGGAUAAAGUGCGUGACGUGUCAUGCAUUGCAGGUACCACAUGAAUAAGGACCGGCUAAUUCCGUG
rnacentral:rRNA from 1 species